GACGAACGCUGGCGGCGUGCCUAAUACAUGCAAGUAGAACGCACAGUUUAUACCGUAGCUUGCUACACCAUAGACUGUGAGUUGCGAACGGGUGAGUAACGCGUAGGUAACCUGCCUGGUAGCGGGGGAUAACUAUUGGAAACGAUAGCUAAUACCGCAUAAUAUUCAUUAUUGCAUGAUAAUUGAUUGUAUGAUGCAACUGCAUCACUACCAGCUGGACCUGCGUUGUAUUAGCUAGUAGGUGAGGUAACGGCUCACCUAGGCGACGAUACAUAGCCGACCUGGGAGGGGGAUCGGCCACACUGGGACUGGGACACGGCCCAGACUCCUACGGGAGGGAGCAGUAGGGAAUCUUCGGCAAUGGACGAAAGGCUGACCGAGCAACGCCGCGGGAGUGGAGGAGGGUCUCGGAUCGUAAAGAUCUGUUGUAAGAGAAGAACGGGUGUGGGAGUGGAAAGUUCACACUGUGACGGUAGCUUACCAGAAAGGGACGGCUAACUACGUG
rnacentral:rRNA from 1 species